GCGCUUAACACAUGCAAGUCGAACGAGAAAGUGGAGCAAUCCAUGAGUAAAGUGGCGUACGGGUGAGUAACACGUGGAUAAUCUGCCCUUGAGUGGGGAAUAACAAUGGGAAACCGUUGCUAAUACCGCAUAUUCCCGAGAGGGGAAAGCAGCAAUGCGCUCGAGGAGGAGUCCGCGGCCGAUUAGCUUGUUGGUAGGUAAUGGCCUACCAAGGCUGCGAUCGGUAGCCGGCCUGAGAGGGCACACGGCCACACUGGCACUGAAACACGGGCCAG
rnacentral:rRNA from 1 species